CUGCACUGUUCGUAACCUGUUAGCAGCUUUAACUGGUGAUGGGUUCCAUUCCAGUGCUACAGAAAUUCCCAGAAUAAAUACCAGGCUGACUUUGUCAAUCUGAUUUUAUGCAUGGGAGACAAGU